AACGCGAAGAACCUUACCUAGGCUUGACAUGCACGGAAAUCCUCCAGAGAUGGGGGGUCCGUAAGGGCCGUGCACAGGUGGUGCAUGGUUGUCGUCAGCUCGUGUCGUGAGAUGUUGGGUUAAGUCCCGCAACGAGCGCAACCCUCGUUCCAUGUUGCCAGCGGGUAAUGCCGGGGACUCAUGGGAGACUGCCGGGGUCAACUCGGAGGAAGGUGGGGAUGACGUCAAAUCAUCAUGCCCCUUAUGUCUAGGGCUGCAAACAUGCUACAAUGGCCGGUACAAAGGGCUGCGAUACCGCGAGGUGGAGCGAAUCCCAAAAAGCCGGUCUCAGUUCGGAUUGGGGUCUGCAACUCGACCCCAUGAAGUUGGAGUCGCUAGUAAUCGCAGAUCAGCAACGCUGCGGUGAAUACGUUCCCGGGUCUUGUACACACCG
rnacentral:rRNA from 1 species